GACAGCGGCUCGUAGACCAAGGUGAGCACGGAGAUCUUACAGCGGCGUGACCGGAGCUCACAGCAGUGGCGUGAAUGGAGUCUUUUGACUGCAACGUGGCUGGAGUUCUUGGCGGAGGCGUGGCUGGAGUUCUUGACGGUGGCGUGGCUGGAGUUCUUGAGGAGCGUGAGGGAUUCAGCUUCUGCUCGCGUCGGCUGAGGACUCGGGAGACUCUCGUGGGAAAGGCAGACCUGAAGCACAGCAACAGAAGGAAAACUUCGCCACGAGUGACGUCAGUGAAACAUCGAACCCACCUCACGGAGAACCACGGGCACCUUCAACCGACGCCGACCGCGUUUGUACCUCCAGCCACGCCACGAGCCAGUGUCUCCUCUGGAUCCACAUCAAACUUCCUGAUUACCUUGGAGAAAUUAAAAUCAUUCUUACCACUCACUUACCAGUCUCGUUCUCUGGGUUCCAGCACUUGGGUCCGCCAUGCUAAGGAAAUCAUGAGACAGGCACUUUAAAUUUGUUGUAUCAAAUGGAUUUUUAUAACGAAAAACUAAAUGAAGUGGAUUUUAAUGUUUUGGGGGAUUUGUCUUUUAAUAGCAGAUAUUUGAAGUUACUUGUCAAUAUUUAUAGUUGGCCUUAUGCUAGCAUUAUUGCAGUUUGUAAUUUGAAAAAAAUAUAAGCGUACACACUAGCUGCAACUUGGUACAUAGUAAAAACAAAAAUGUAAAUACAAAAAAGGAAAAUAUUCAAAUGUACAUGAAUUUUCAGUGCACUUUUAGUUGCUUUUAGGUGUUAGCGGUUUACAUCAAUUACACAAACAUGAACAUCCCCUUAGCCAUUGAAAAGAUUUGUUAUAAUCUAACUUCUAAAUUUAUUAAUCAAUCUAGAAAAUCCUGAACAGUGAGAUUACAGCCUUAAAUACAUAAGAAAUUGAAUCCUGAGCUCAUUUAAUGGUGGGUUAAAACUUGUUAGUCAAAAUGCACUUAAAAAUAUGAUUGCAGUCUUUCAUAAACCUUGACAUUUGUGAUAUUGUGCUUUGUAACAAAAAUGCACAUUUUAGGCUACAUUUUGUCGUAGCCAGCCUGAGACAAACCUGUGCACUAAUCUUGCUGCCCAAUCAGUAGCUUGAUUUGCCAUGCCUGUGUUGUUUGGAUUGUCUUGAAAAUGGAGAGGUGCUCUCUAACUCAAAUUUCAACAGGGACAAACAUUUGAUAGAUUUAGUUGAUGUUGUUUUUUUUAGUUUGCAGGACAAGCAUUUCCCAUUUUACUUCAGCACAUGAAAGGUAGGAUCAAAGGUAAAAUGCUGCAUUUGUAAUUGUUAUUUAUUGAUUACACCACUUAUGAUUAAUAUUAAGUUUGGAACAUGUCAAUUUAAUUUUGGUGAACUCAAAGUGGAAAUUUAUGCAUGAAACAUUUGAUGACAUUAAGAAAUAAAAUCAAUAUAUUACAGUUGUUUUAUCUCAGGAUUACUAGAUCUGAUUUUUGUAACCUAAGUCACCCACUAGCCCUCCUUAGUAGUCACCAGAAUUAGUGCAAAAAAUUUAGAAAGUUGGCAUGAAUCUGGUCAUUUACAACUUUCGCUAUUGCUCUUAAUUUUUUAAAUUUCACAAGUAGACGAUCAGAUUACUGUUGGUAUCUGUGAUUGAUAAAUGGCAUAUAAUAAGGAUUAUACUUACAUGUGAAUUAAAAAAGAAAAAAAAAAACAAUGCUAUACUGAGACUCUUCAAAUGUGCACAGUGAUGCUUUUGAAGCUCAGUGAAUUUUUUUUUUUUCCAGCAUUAAAAGGUUUUCAUGACAAUGUUAUCAAACUUUUAAAAAAAUAUAAACUAUGUAUUUAUUUUAGUGAUAAAGGGCUUAAAUGCGUGUGCAAAAAAAUCAAAACAGAGCAAUGGCUGUUAAAAUGUCUAGGUACAUUCUCAUGUAUUUCUUUUUUUUGUUUGUUUUGCUUAUGGUGUGGGUCUUCACAGCUCUUUUUUUUUAAGGGGAUUGGGAUUCAACCUUGUCAACCUUGCCCUUUCACUCAAAAAUUAAAGUGUUACCCCUUUAACACUGUAGCUUUUGACAAUCUUUCAAGCGUUGAUGUUAAUAAUAAAAAUCCAGUGGAUUCUCAGAAUCAGAGUACAUCAUUCAUCCCCUACGUAUAUACAGUGCAAAUCAGCAGUGUAAAAUGAAAUUAAUAAGGCUGUCAGGUGGUUUCCUGAAGUAAGUAGGUUUAAAUAGAAGAGUUAUUCAGUGUAAUUGCCACAUGUACUGUAGAAAGACCUUCUGUCUCGCUCAGGUCUUGUCUUGCUGCCUGUGUGCCCCUUGUAUUGGUCCAGACGCUAGAGGAGGGGAUGGGUGCUUCAGAUUUUGAAGCAUCAUUUCAGCACUGUUUCUAAGGAGUCCAGCUUUACUCCUGCCAUGUCCCAGCCUUGCAGAUCAGUUGAUUCAGUCUGUUUUGAACCUGCGACCCUGGUUGCCCUGAAGUGGAGAAAAGUAGCUUUGUAUCAAUAUGCACAACUUCACUGUAGAUAAGUCCAUUAAGCUAUCAACGUAAAUCAUGUCAUUCUGUGUUUACUCUGUGUCAGAAUCAGCCGAUUCACCUUGAUCAUAUAAGCGGUUGAACAGUUGUGGAAGGGUCAAAGAUUGUGGGGGUUUUUAGGUGUCGCUGGCGACAUCUCCUAUGCUAAAAGGUUGAACAACUGGCCAAAUUUGAUCAAAUUCAAGUCAAAAUUCUUGUUUAAUCAGCACUGCCUUUUCCAAAAUAGUUACAUUGAUAUUGAAUUGAAUAUACAAUGAAAACUUUUCACCAUAAAGUAUAUUGCAAAACAAAAAGCUUGAUGGCUCACCUUUGACCCCCACACGCAUUUUGGAGUUAAAAUGUGUGUAGUUGCCAAACAAUCUAUCCUUGUUCUCAAACACUUUAAUACACAACUGCAUAGCAUCAAUUAACCACAACGUUGUAAGUGUGCUUGUAAAAGCUCAAUUAAAAACCUUUUAAUCUAGAAGUAGCACCUACAUGUCCUUACACACACAUACAGGAUGAUCUAAUGACGUUACAUGGGACAGUGUUUCACAAAUUAGUUGUUACACAGAAAGGUUGAGGAGCACAAAGGUCAAAUGUUAAUUACAAAUUGUCUCAGUGCAAAGGGAAUAAAGAUUGCAAUUAAUCUCGGAUACGACACAUUGAAUGCAAUUUACCUACAAUAAUGUACCAGUGAGGCCCAAAAGCAGUGUCUCCCACAUUUAUUAAGUGAGUAAUUAAAAGCAGAAAAAUAGGCGCCUGAAGAUGGAAAUAAAAAAAAAUAAAAAAAAGUUAUGGCAUCAUCUGUGGGAGCAUGGUGUUCUAUUGCACUUUUAAACCAGUCAGGUUAUUUUAUUUUAGAGAAUUAAAUUGAGACAUUAAUAUAAGGUUGAUAAUAAAAAUAAUCAUUAACCAAUAUAGAAAAUGAAAUGCACUGAAUUAGUAAGAAAAACGUUUUGAUGCCAUUUGUCUCCAGGCUUAUAUUAACAAUAGGUUUUGUCAUACUUUUUACAACUGUCUUGAUGUGUAUUAUGUACUCAAUUUUACUUUGACAGUGGUCACAUGCAAUUGCAGUAUGUUCUGUAUAUUUUCAAUUUUUUCCUUUCGAAAAUCUACCAAAAACCUUUACUAAUUUCUUAUUUUCAUUAUAAAAAUGUUCUCUCCUAUACUGUCUCACAAUUGCCCUCUUUUCUAUGUGGUGGAACCUAAUAUAGCACCUCAAAAGUAGGAGGGGAGAGGCUUCAGUCUGGGGAGCAACAUCUACCAAUUAGAGCAUACGUGGAUGAUAUGACAACUAUUACAACUACAGCACUAUGUACCAGAGGAAUGUUAGAGAAGAGGAAUUCAAAUUGACAGUGGGCAAGGAUGAAGGUGAAGCCACAAAAAAAAAAAACAA